AGUGAACGCUGGCGGUAGGCCUAACACAUGCAAGUCGAACGGCAGCACAGUAAGAGCUUGCUCUUACGGGUGGCGAGUGGCGGACGGGUGAGGAAUACAUCGGAAUCUACUUUUUCGUGGGGGAUAACGUAGGGAAACUUACGCUAAUACCGCAUACGACCUACGGGUGAAAGCAGGGGAUCUUCGGACCUUGCGCGAUUGAAUGAGCCGAUGUCGGAUUAGCUAGUUGGCGGGGUAGAGGCCAACCAAGGCGUGGAUCCGUAGCCGGUCUGAGAGGGUGAACGGAAACAUGGGGACUGAGAUACGGCCCAGAGUCCUACGGGAGGCAGCAGUGGGGAAUAUUGCACAAUGGGCGGAAGCCUGAGGCAGCAACGCCGCGUGCGGGAUGACGGCCUUCGGGUUGUAAACCGCUUUCGCCUGUGACGAAGCGUGAGUGACGGUAAUGGGUAAAGAAGCACCGGCUAACUACGUG
rnacentral:rRNA from 1 species